UCAGAUCAGGCAGGAUUACCCGCUGAACUUAAGCAUAUCAAUAAGCGGAGGAAAAGAAACUAACAAGGAUUCCCCUAGUAACGGCGAGUGAAGCGGGAAGAGCUCAAAUUUGUAAUCUGGCACCUUCGGUGUCCGAGUUGUAAUCUCGAGAAGUGUUUUCCGCGCCGGACCGCAUACAAGUCUGUUGGAAUACAGCGUCAUAGUGGUGAGAACCCCGUAACUGAUGCGGAUGCCCGGUGCUUUGUGAUACACUUUCGAAGAGUCGAGUUGUUUGGGAAUGCAGCUCAAAUUGGGUGGUAAAUUCCAUCUAAAGCUAAAUAUUGGCGAGAGACCGAUAGCGAACAAGUACCGUGAGGGAAAGAUGAAAAGCACUUUGGAAAGAGAGUUAACAGUACGUGAAAUUGUUGGAAGGGAAACGCUUGAAGUCAGACUUGCUAUUUGGAAUUCAGCCGCAAGGUGUACUUUUCAAUUCGCAGGCCAGCAUCAGUUUUCGGGGGUGGAAAAGGGUAAAGAGAAGGUAGCAAUUUCGGUUGUGUUAUAGCU
rnacentral:rRNA from 1 species